GACGAACCGUGCGAACGUUGUUCGGAAUCACUGGGCUUAAAGGGCGCGUAGGCGGGCUGCCAAGUCUGGGGUGAAAUCCCACGGCUCAACCGUGGAACUGCCUCAGAUACUGGCGGCCUCGAGGGAGGUAGGGGCAUGCGGAACUAUGCGUGGAGCGGUGAAAUGCGUUGAUAUGCAUAGGAACUCCGGUGGCGAAGGCGGCGUGCUGGACCUCUUCUGACGCUGAGGCGCGAAAGCCAGGGGAGCAGACGGG
rnacentral:rRNA from 1 species